rnacentral:lncRNA from 1 species
UGCUUUAUUCGGACUUUUUUCCAUUUUGGAUUAUUUUUAUUGGAAUGAUUUUAUUGGAUUCUUUUAUUAGGAUUAUUUUUAUCAGAAUGAUUUUUCUGGAUUAUUUUAUUUGGAUUAUUUUUAUUGGAAUGAUUUUAUUGGAUUCUUUUAUUUGCAUUAUUUUAUUGCAUUAUUUUAUUUGCAUUAUUUCCACCUGAUUCAUUUCGGGGUUCAUUUGGGGGGGUCGGGGAAUUUUUAUUCUAUUUUUUAAAAAACUCGAAAAGACAAAAAAAGGAGGAAAAUUCCCCCCCAGAAG